AUUGAACGCUGGCGGCAGGCCUAACACAUGCAAGUCGAGCGGAGCGGCGGACGGGUGAGUAAUACCUAGGAAUCUGCCUGGUAGUGGGGGAUAACGUUCGGAAACGGACGCUAAUCCCGCAUACUAUCAGAUGAGCCUAGGUCGGAUUAGCUAGUUGGUGAGGUAAUGGCUCACCAAGGCUACGAGCCGUAACUGGUCUGAGAGGAUGAUCAGUCACACUGUGACGUAGAAACGGUCCAGACGCCUACGGGAGGCAGCAGUGGGGAAGAGUGGACAAUGGGAGAAAGCCUGAUCCAGCCAUGCCGCGUGUGGGAAGAAGGUCUUAGGAGUGUAAAGCUCUUUAAGUUGGGAGGCGUUACCGACAGAAUAAGCACCGGCUAACUCUGUGCAAGCCGCCGCGGUAAUAC
rnacentral:rRNA from 1 species